GGGCGGCAGCAUGGACUUCGGUCUGAUGGCGAGCGGCGAACGGGUGAGUAAUGCAUCGGAACGUACCCAGUCGUGGGGGAUAACGUAGCGAAAGUUACGCUAAUACCGCAUACGUCCUACGGGAGAAAGCAGGGGAUCGCAAGACCUUGCGCGAUUGGAGCGGCCGAUGUCUGAUUAGCUAGUUGGUAGGGUAAAGGCCUACCAAGGCGUCGAUCAGUAGCGGGUCUGAGAGGAUGAUCCGCCACACUGGAACUGAGACACGGUCCAGACUCCUACGGGAGGCAGCAGUGGGGAAUUUUGGACAAUGGGGGCAACCCUGAUCCAGCCAUUCCGCGUGAGUGAAGAAGGCCUUCGGGUUGUAAAGCUCUUUCGGCAGGAACGAAACGGUUCGCUCUAACAUAGCGGACUACUGACGGUACCUGAAGAAGAAGCACCGGCUAACUACGUGCCAGCAGCCGCGGUAAUACGUAGGGUGCGAGCGUUAAUCGGAAUAACUGGGCGUAAAGCGCACGCAGGCGGUUGGAUAAGUCAGAUGUGAAAUCCCCGGGCUCAACCUGGGAACUGCAUUUGAAACUGUCUGACUAGAGUCUUGUAGAGGGGGGUAGAAUUCCAGGUGUAGCGGUGAAAUGCGUAGAGAUCUGGAGGAAUACCGGUGGCGAAGGCGGCCCCCUGGACAAAGACUGACGCUCAGGUGCGAAAGCGUGGGGAGCAAACAGGAUUAGAUACCCUGGUAGUCCACGCUGUAAACGAUGUCGAUUUGGAGUUUGUGCCAUUAUGAGCGUGGGGUUCCGAAGCUAACGC
rnacentral:rRNA from 1 species